rnacentral:tRNA from 1 species
UGAGAUGGCUGAAUGUUAAGCGGUGGAUUGUAGCCCCAUAAACAGAGGGCAUUUCUCUUCUUAC